ACCAAUAAACAGUACUUAUCGAUUUUGCUAAGAAGUAAUUAAAUGAUUAACGAUCCGGCCACGAUGUUAACACUGUUUUAAAGAAUAAUAGUGAAAUUAAACUCAAAGUACAUAAAAAUGUAUUUUCAGCUUCUUCGUAUAAUGUGCAAAUAUAAAUUUUACAUUCUCAUUCCGUACGCUGUAAUUUUUUAUUUUGCAUUUAUUUGGUACUUUUGGAAUAUACAUGGCAAAUAUAACUAUAAAUACGUUGAACAUGGGACGUGGUGGAAGACGGAAGCAGUCGAGGAACCGUGCCAUGUAUCCAGGGAGAAUGAUGUUCUUGAACUCGUAACUGAGAAAACGAAAAUACCUUUGAACUCCAUAUUUUUCCACCACACGUCCUGUACGAUUGAUUUAUCGUCACGUCAAGCAUGUGCAAUAGAGUCGGCAGCUAAAACAAACCCUGAACGUCAAAUUAACGUCCUAUUCAUUUCAUCAAUAGAAGAAGACACCUUAAGAAAUGGCAGCCUCAGCACAAUUCUAGAUAAAUAUAAAAAUGUGAAACUAAGAAGAGUGCUCAUUUCAGAUUAUGCAAGUAGGACACCUCUAGAGUCCACUGUAGCGAACAUUAGUGUUGAUAAUGAUAUAUUGUUCGCACAAAUGUCGAAAAUAAUGAAAUACCUGACGUUGUAUAAGUACAGUGGGAUUUAUUUAAGUUUCGAUGUGAUUGUGGCCAGGAACUUAGAUUUGCGGCCCAAUUGGGUAGUUAAAAGUAGUCCAGCGUCGUUGUCAGCAGAUAUGUUUGCAUUUUCCAACGAUACAGUCGGAAGGAAGCUAGCUAAUGGCGCUAUGGGAUUUUUAAAGAGUGAAUUAUUAAACAAGGAGCUGGAUUUCUGGAGCUAUAACGCGCCAUCUGCGUUAACUCACUUGCUGUCUAGGUGGUGUACCACGGAUCAAGUGGAGCAGAUGACGUCGAAUGUAUGCCAAGAUAUCGCAGUACAUGAUCCAAAAAUGUUCUACCCAAUAGAUUUCCAUGACAGAAAACAGUAUUUUGAAAAUGUUGACUGGGAAGAAUGGAAAAAGAAGGAAAUCUACACUUAUUUCAUAUAUGAGCAAUUUACCAAAUAUAGUCUGGUACCACCAUUGUCUCUUUAUGGGAGGAUUGCUAAUGAGUAUUGUCCACUGACCUACGAACGAUCUACUGAUAAAAAGGGCUUAUGGUAUUAUAUGUAGAUAUAAUAAAAUCAUAGAUAUAAAAUAAUGAUGGGUCAGCCCUCUUAGCCAACGGGUCUGUCUACAUUUGUAAAUGAAUAAAAUUAAAAAAAUCUACGGAAUUCAAAAUUUCGAUUUUAGGAAGACACCUUGGCUAACGAAGCAGAAAUAAGAUAGUUGUAAUAAA